AUGGGAGAGGGAACAGAGAGAGACAGAUCGUUCUCCAUCCAGGGGAGAAGAAAAGACGAGAAGGACGAAGGAGGAGGGGGUAGAUGCUGGAGCAUCAUGGGACGUCAGUGGGUGUUUGUAAGGGCCAUACUGGUAGUGGUGAGUCUGGGAGCUCUCUUUCUCUCUCUUGGAGCAUGGUCAGUACUGGGACUGGAAGACAUAGAGGAGGAGAGUCCAGGGGAAGCAGAGUCACUGCCACCAGCAAGACUGCUGGACUACCACUGUGUGGAACUGGUGUUGAGAGCCACAGCCAGAGGGGGUGCCAUCGGGCUACUGAGAGGACUAGCAGCCAUCUCAGUGGUCUGGAUAGCAGAGGUCCUGUCUGGGUCUAAUGGCCUGGUUACAUCGGUGCUCCGCGCCCCCUUCUUGGGGCUUCUGAUCGGGCUGGGGCUGGGUGCUGCAGAUGGGGUGGCCCAGGCAGAGGAGCUCCAAGAGCCUGGGGUGUGGUGGGAGUUUGUGGGUAACGGGAUGAGCGGGGCUGGGGUGGGGGCCAGGGUGGCUGCAGUGAGUGGGGUGGUCAUCGCUGGUUUGAUGAGCAUCAUGACGGUCAGGGCAGUGAAGAAUGUGGCGAAGAGCGGUGAGAUCAGGAUGGCACAGUUCAUUACCGUAUCGGUGGCUGUGGGGGCUUCUAGGAUGGUGCUGUGUUUGGCUCCCGGAUGCAUGGCCACAGGAGCCUUGGUAGUAUCCAUCCUAGGGACCGGGAGGGACCUCCACAACUUGGGGGCCCUAGUCGUGCUGGGGUUGGGGUGGUGUGCAGGGCAAAGGUGGCUUGGUGGUGGUGUGUCAGUUUUCUUGAUGUGGGAUAAAUUGGGGAAACUCUCACCCAGAUAUCUAAUAGGAAGGUUAGUGGGCUUGACCGUAGCUGUGGUUGGAUCCAUGUGCCUGGGGUUCUCUCUGCAGAUGUACUCAGCCCUGGUCAGUGUGUUACUGGGUGCUUCUUUAGCCUUUCUGUCCUGGAGGGGUGGGGAGGCUGUUUGUCAAGUUUUUGCUGAGGUGGUAGAGAGAUUAUUUGUAGCUAUAAGCAUCAAUACAUAUCAUGGACAAGAAGAGAGACUUUUGAAUACCUUUGGAUGGGGAAAGAGGCCUCUCGAUGCUUGA
rnacentral:lncRNA from 1 species